rnacentral:rRNA from 1 species
AGAUUGAACGCUGGCGGCAUGCCUUACACAUGCAAGUCGAACGGCAGCACGGGGGCAACCCUGGUGGCGAGUGGCGAACGGGUGAGUAACAUAUCGGAACGUGCCCUGGAGUGGGGGAUAACUAGUCGAAAGAUUAGCUAAUACCGCAUACGAUCUACGGAUGAAAGUGGGGGAUCGCAAGACCUCAUGCUCGUGGAGCGGCCGAUAUCUGAUUAGCUAGUUGGUGGGUAAAGGCCUACCAAGGCGUCGAUCAGUAGCUGGUCUGAGAGGACGACCAGCCACACUGGGACUGAGACACGGCCCAGACUCCGUACGGGAGGCAGCAGUGGGAAUUUGGACAAUGGGACGAAGCCUGAUCCAGCAAUGCCGCGUGAGUGAAGAGCUUGGUGUAAGCUCGUUUGUCGAGGAAGAACGGUAGGUAAGGUUAA